rnacentral:rRNA from 1 species
CCUACGGGUGGCAGCAGUGGGGAAUAUUGCACAAUGGGCGCCAGCCUGAUGCAGCCAUGCCGCGUGUGUGAAGAAGGCCUUCGGGUUGUAAAGCACUUUCAGCGGGGAGGAAGGCGUUAAGGUUAAUAACCUUGUCGAUUGACGUUACCCGCAGAAGAAGCACCGGCUAACUCCGUGCCAGCAGCCGCGGUAAUACGGAGGGUGCAAGCGUUAAUCGGAAUUACUGGGCGUAAAGCGCACGCAGGCGGUCUGUCAAGUCGGAUGUGAAAUCGCCGGGCUCAACCUGGGAACUGCAUUCGAAACUGGCAGGCUAGAGUCUUGUAGAGGGGGGUAGAAUUCCAGGUGUAGCGGUGAAAUGCGUAGAGAUCGGGAGGAAUACCGGUGGCGAAGGCGGCCCCCUGGACAAAGACUGACGCUCAGGUGCGAAAGCGUGGGGAGCAAACAGGAUUAGAUACCCUAGUAGUC